GACGAACGCUGGCGGCGCGCUUAACACAUGCAAGUCGAACGGAAAGGCCUGCUUUCCCUUGUGGAUUGCGGGUACUCGAGUGGCGAACGGGUGAGUAACACGUGAGUGAUCUGCCCCCAACUUGGGUAUAAGCCUGGGAAACUGGGUCUAAUUCCCGAUAGGACUGCAGGGUGGUGCCUGUGGUGGAAAACGAUUUUCUAGUGGUUGGGGAUGAGCUCGCGGCCUAUCAGCUUGUUGGUGGGGUAAUGGCCUACCAAGGCGGCGACGGGUAGCCGGCCUGAGAGGGUGGACGGCCACAUUGGGACUGAGAUACGGCCCAGAAUCCUACGGGAGGCAGCAGUGGGGAAUAAUGCACAAUGGGCGGAAGCCUGAUGCAGCGACGCCGCGUGGGGGAUGACGGCCUUCGGGUUGUAAACUCCUUUCGACCGCGAGGAAGCCACCUGGUUGGAAGGGUGGUGACGGUAGUGGGAGAAGAAGCACCGGCUAACUACGUG
rnacentral:rRNA from 1 species